GUAAUGUGUUCAUAUUUUGUAGGUGGAGACGAAAAAGUAAAUGUUGAUCCAGAUGAUGAUUCUGACUGGUUGCAUAUCAAUUAUACAUUACAGUCAAACGACAUUGAUGCAACGACAGAAGUUCUAACACCAGGUUGGGGUAUUCAUGCUUCACUUCUUGAGCUUGGUAUAUAUUGCUUCCAGAUGCUACGAUCUCCUGUGCUUGGUAUGUUGCUUCCAGACACUACCGCAAGCGUAAUCUAACCCAUUUUAACUAAAAUACUCUUGCGUGGACCUGAAGAUGAUAGCUAGCUGAACACUUUUUACGAUAAUUUUUAGAUUCAUCAGUAGAACUGCUCUAUGAUAAAUCUAGAUCUAGAUUCAGUUUCUAAGCGGUGAUAGGUUCAUGAUUAUGCUUGUGCAUUCAAAGGACAUAUGCUGUUACUCUGAAACUUAUGUCUGCCUUCCUGCCCAUGUGCUCAUCGGAACUGGGACCCUUCUAUUGUUCUUGCCUUUUUUAUUACCUUUUUACUUGCCCUCUCUGCAUGUUUGUUCCUUUUACUACUGCUUCAGUCGUAGUUCAGUUCAUCACUCUCCCGCUGUUCACUUUCAGAUUUGACACAAGCACGGAUCGGAACACUUGUUGUAUAUGAACACCUUGUCAUGCUUGAGUUCAUAUACAACUUCAGAGAGACAUGUAAGUUAUCCUGUAUUUUAACAUCCCAAUCUGAACUGGAGCAGGAAACUGUCAAUUGGUGCCGUCAGAUCUUAAGAAACAGCCCCAUGGCUAUUCGCGUGCUGAAAUCUGCACUCAACGCGGCAGAGGAUGGCCAUGCAGGCCUUCAGGAGCUUGGCGGGAAUGCCACACAUAUAUUCUACGGCACGGAGGAGGCAAAGGAAGGGAAGAACGCGUACAUGGAGAAACGACGCCCAGAUUUCUCCAAGUUCCCACGCAAACCUUGAGUUUCAGCUCUUUGCUGAACUGGCCAAUUCAUUAUUUCACUCCAAUCUGUAAUUGUCUAUUAUGAAUUUUAUGGGGGUUUUGGACUUGGGAUUAUUGAGUAGACAUGCGUACAACUAUGGUUAUGUGUGUAAGCCAAUGUUGACCAACAGCUUAAGUUGGUCUUCUUCUGAAUAGUCCAUGGGAGCGAGAGAUUGGAUGUCAUUGUUGUAAUUUUAUUUGUAAUUCAACAUGUGCUGAGAUUUUUAUUGGCUGCCAUACUCUCUCUAGAUGCUUUUUUAAAUGAAGUUCAUAGGUUUGCAAAAGUAAGUCACCAGUUUUUAAAAAUUAAAGAUGUGAUGGGUUUAGUGUUCGAGAUGCUGUAACUAUGAAUCUGUUGAUUUGGCUUGUCACUUCCAGAGCUUUGAUGGAGAGCAAGCUACUUAGUGGAACUACUCUCAUUGUAGACCGCUACUCCUAUUCGGGAGUGGCCUUUUCAGCUGCUAAGGGCCUUGACAUUGAGUGAUGCAAGGUGAGCUGCGUGCCAUACGGAUGAAUAAUGACUUGCUCUCUUUCAUUCAUGUCAAUAUAUAGCAGCAAACUAAGAAGUGAUGCCUAUUUAUCCUCUUUUCUAGGCUCCAGAAAAUGGACUUAUUGCUCCAGACCUUGUAAUAUUGUUGUGAAUGCAGUACGUUUGAUUUCUGUUGUAGUUCUUCUGUGAAAGGUUUCUAUACCUGUCCAUUUCGAAGCAUAUUUGAAGUAUGAAACUGUUAUAGGCUUAUAGGUUCUGUGCAUCUGCAAUUCAGAUGACUCAGUUGAUCAGUUGUAUGUUAGUAGCGAACCCCUUACAUUAAUUCAUGGGAUGUCGUAGAAACAAAUA